CUGCAAAGGUCUGAACUAAAUAACCUAAAUAACUGCAUAAAAUUUGCAAGUAGUGCAAUGCAGUGGAAGUUCCGGGAGCAAUACAAUGGAAGGAGAACAAGAAAGUUGACAAUGCGCAUACGAUGAUGUUUUUUUACAAAAAAGUUAAAGUGGGUAAAAUCGUAUUUCGCGGCAAGACGAUAACACAAUUCGCGCGCGUAACGAUGGUGACAUUUAAUAUUUAUCUUUCAGUUCACGUUUCACGUGACAAAUUUCAA